rnacentral:rRNA from 1 species
AACGAACGCUGGCGGCAAGCUUAACACAUGCAAGUCGAGCGCCCCGCAAGGGGAGCGGCAGACGGGUGAGUAACGCGUGGGAAUCUACCCAUCCCUACGGAAUAGCUCCGGGAAACUGGAAUUAAUACCGUAUACGCCCUACGGGGGAAAGAUUUAUCGGGGAUGGAUGAGCCCGCGUUGGAUUAGCUAGUUGGUGGGGUAAAGGCCUACCAAGGCGACGAUCCAUAGCUGGUCUGAGAGGAUGAUCAGCCACAUUGGGACUGAGACACGGCCCAAGCUCCUACGGGAGGCAGCAGUGGGGAAUAUUGGACAAUGGGGGCAACCCUGAUCCAGCCAUGCCGCGUGAGUGAUGAAGGCCUUAGGGUUGUAAAGCUCUUUCACCGGGGAAGAUAAUGACGGUACCCGGAGAAGAAGCCCCGGCUAACUUCGUGCCAGCCGCCGCAGUAA